rnacentral:snRNA from 1 species
AUCUUUGUGUAGUGGCAGUAUCAUAGCCAAUGAGGUUUAUCCGAGGCACGAUUAUUGCUAAUUGAAAACUUUUCCCAAUACCUCACCAUGACAACUUGAAAUAUAGUCGGUGUUGACAAUUAAAAAAUAAA